AAAAAAAAAGGUUGGAUUCAGGCCCAAGGUGUUAGUCCCUAUGGGCACCUGUUCCCUGUUUUUUUUU
rnacentral:tRNA from 1 species